CCACGUUGAAUUCAUGAGGAAUUGGAAUAUUAAUUAGCCGCCGCUGGAGCAGGCUAAUUAGCAUCGCUAAUAGGCUAACUGGAGAAUAAAUGCGCGUUUGCGCAUGUUAGCCGGGUGUUUGAAGAAAAAAUAAAAGGCUCGUUUUCAAGACGCUGUGGUCGGCUGCUGUGAAGUUGAAAAAAAAAAAAUCAUGAAAAGAAUGAAGUGCUAACGCCGCCGGUGCAACCUCUUAUGGAUUCAUUGAUCGCUUAAGACGAGCGAGGAGCUCGACGAGGUCCGCCGCGGCCUCGUCUUGUGCCGCAAACACGCUGACGAUGGAGUCGUCCACUGCGCUCGGCUGACGAGUCGCGGGUGAGCGGCGAAGGCGACCGCAGGAGAGGAAGCGAGAGCAUUUUCCUCCCCCAUUUGCUCUCAACCUCUCCCUCUUUUUUUCUCCCUCCCUUACUUGCUCCCCUUUUCUGUCCUUUUCUCUCCCCCUCACUUCCUCUCUUUCUCCCUCCUGUUCACCCCCUUCCUCUCUCCCUGUCCCUCUUAGUCUCUCUCCCCUCAUCCCCUCUCUCUUCCCCAGUCUCUCCCUUCUUCCUUCUCCACCCUCUCUCCCCCUUUCCCUCGCUCCCCUUCUCUCUCUCCACUCCCUCUCAUCCCUCUAUCUCGCUUUCUUACCCUCUCCUUUCCACCCUCUCUGCCCCCUCUUUCUCUCCCUCGCUCUCUCUCCUGCUUUCGCUGGCCCUCCUUCAAUCUCUUUCUCCCUCUCUCCCCUCCCUUCCUCUCUUUCUCUUAGCCUCCCCCUUUCUCCCCCACUCCCUCAUUUUUUCCUCUUUUCUGUCCUCUACCUUUCCCUCUUUCCUCCCUCCCUGUUCUUCUCUCUCUGCCUCUCCAUCUCUCCAUCACCGUCUUUCCCUCCCUUUCUCUCUCUCCUUCCCUCUAUGUCCUCUCCCCCUUUUAUCUCUUCCCCUCUCUCCGCCUCUCCCCCUCUUUCUCCCUCUCUCUACCGCCACUCUCAGCGUCCUCCAUCACGCCAAACGAGUGUGUCGAGGAGCACGGCGACCGCCCGCAGGAUUCGAGUGAGGCGAGGAAGAGGAGGAGCCCGCCAAGCCUUCCAGAAAGUCUUUAAUCAAAACAAGUUGCAACUUUUUGCUUUUUUGGAAGCGCGCCAUCAGGCCGCGUCGCGUUGAUGUCGGAAUAAAUGGAACGCUGACGGAUGAUGUCGGACCUUGGCGGCUGCGCGACGUCUUCUUGGAGAGCGCGGCCGCCUGUGACUCACUGUCUUGAAUAUCUCACACAACCGGCGGGACGCGCCGGCGCGGCGGAGUCGUUGGUGGAGUUGAAAGGAGACAGGAAGUCAGCCAUGAGCCCAUGAUGUCGCCUGGGGGGAGGACGCGACCUCGUGAUGCUCUCCGAACGAGAGACAGCCGCCGCCGCCGCCGCCGAUGCUUAAUUGACGCACAGUGUCGGCCCAGAGCAAUGCAUCGUGGGAAACACGGCCACGCCGAAGCAAGCUCAGUAACGCCCAAGAACGUUUUGAACAAAUUUGAUGAAUAGCAAAAAAGUUGCAAGAAUCCACACCUGAAAUGACACAGGAAGUCUGCCAUUUUGGUUCAAAGGCUUUUUGUCCGUUUCCACGGGUCCUCAAAGUUUUGGGGAAAUUUGACUUGGAAUCGUGAAAUUUGCUAGGCGUGUCUAUCAUGGGUAAACCCACAAAAGAGUCGAAAGGACCCAUGCCCAAGCGAAGGAUAUAUUGGUUUGGGAAAUUCAGCCGCGGAAGCCAAUUUCACUUCGCAGUAUGAAAUUUGGUCACGAGUCGCCCCACAGAAAGGUCUCAAGAAGCUAUGCCCGAAAAGACACAGGAAUCCUGACAUUUUGCUUUCAAUUGGCCCUGCUAGGGUCAUGAUUUUUUUUUUUAAUUCAGCCGCAGGAGCCCGAUUGAUUUGAAAACAUGAAAUUUGGUUCAAAAAAACAAAAAAAAGUCCCACAAUAAAGUCUCAAGAAGCCAUGGCCAAAAGUCACACGAAGCCUGUCAUUUUGGCUCUAAGUGGCCAUUUUAGGGUGAUUUUCUGGGAACUUGUCUAAGUGAUUUUGGCCUAUGCUACCAAAUUUAAAACAUGUACACAAGCAGCUAUGUAAUAAAUUUGUUAUUGCACACCACUGACGAAUAUCGGUGCAUAUUUUAUUCAAAAUCUGAAGGGUUCUUUCUUGGAAACAAAACCGUUAAUACCUUUUAAGUUAAAGAAUUUCACAAUUGUGUGGUAGGUGGUAGAUAACAGGUCUACUCUUACCUUUUGGAUGAAAAAAAGCUCAAACUAAGUAGUGUUGGAAAUCAUUAAAAAGCAAUAUUUCUUGCUCUAAAGAAAAACAAUGCUGCCCCCGAGUUGAAUCAGAUUAGAAAAUUGAUUACACAACACAUACUACCUACCGAUCGGACCUCAUUGGAAAACCAGUUUUUCACAGUCUGGCACGUCCCAGAUUCCCGCGGGGUAAAAAAAUGUUGCCCAUAAAUAAAACAAAAGAAAUAUUUGCGACAUUUGUUUGACUCCACCUCCCGCUGAGAGAAAGAUGGGAUGGAAAUGUCAACGUGGGGCGUCCAGUCCGCCUGUCAAAUGAAGACGAGGCGCACGGCUGAACGAUCACAGUCGUCGCCCCCCGCCGCGCCGGAUGACAAACUUGGGGAUGAAAGACGCCAAGAUGCCAGGCUUUAACACUUACAUACUGCUCGUUUUCCAUGCGGGAUGUAUUAAUUGCAUGUGUGAAAUUAAUAAAGGGAUGAUAA